rnacentral:lncRNA from 10 species
CUUGCCCCGCCUACCUCCCCGAGUUCUGGGGCUCAGUCGGCUCUAGCUCUCUCCUGCCGCCGGCGCCACUCCAGAAAGCUGUGGGUACCCGGGAGCGGAGCGCCGCGGGUGUGCUGGGCGCCGGUGGAGGGGGGAACAGCGAGGAUUAGACGCCGGGAAGCACUUCCCCAACAUCUGCGAGAGGUAGACACGGCGGAACCUAGUGGAAUCCCAUCAUCGCGUGCACAUCUCAUCCCAGGAGGGAGAGAGGAGCUGCCGAGUAGAAAGCAGACUGGCUGCAGGGACAGAAGACACCAAGGGCACCCUCCCCCACAGCUGCGCCUGGACCUCCUGCGAGAAGAGGAAGCCUUAGGGGUCUUUAUUGUACCCUCAAGACCCCAGAGAGAAACAGAAGUGCUGAGGGGUCGCAGGCAGGUCUCUUACCCUCUCUGGGCCUCGAAUAUUUAUCCAUAGGAGGCUGAAGGUAACUGCCUUCGCAACUCAUUCAUGAGGGUCAAUGGGACGACAGUGGCAAGAGGGGUUGGCACACUGCCCAGACUGUUCCAAAGCCAGGGCUGGGGCUGCCAAAAAGGCCACCUGUGCUUCACCAUGCUCCAUCCUCCCUCUCUUCCACCUCCCCAGGCUGGGCUCCACUUGUCCAGCUCUCUGACUUCCUGGCAAGGUUGAGUAGGCUCCAGCUAGGAAGGGGCCAGCUGACCUUGUUGGCCGGAGCACUAAUCCCCUCCAGAUGGGCUGGUGGCUUGCACUGAGGGCCUGGCUGCCCAGACAGAGCUGACUCUGGUCCCAGUGACCAUGUGUGGCUAUGUGUGACCGUGUGAAGGGAGCAAUUCCAUCCAGUCUCCCGGUUCCUUCCUGCUUCACUCCUCCCCACUGCUGACAUCCCCCACAAGCAGUGGCCCCAUGAAGGCCUUCUUGUCUCUAGUAGCCUCUUUUGGCUCUCUGUGUUGCUUAGCUGGAGGGCUGAGGAUGCCUGGCACAGCCGAUUCCCAAAGGCCUCAGAGGGACAGCUCCUCCCCCUGCUUCCCCCACCCCGUCAGCCCCAUCACUCUGCACCUGCCCUUCCCAAAGCAUGUGUCCCAGUCCCCAUCCCUCAACCCAAGGAAGAUGUAUGUGUCAAGGACAGGACUCAGGAGCAUUUCCCAACAUUUAGGGGAAAGGAUGAGGUCACAGGAAGGCUUUCUCUGCAGCAAGAAGGACUCAGAUAGAUUUGGGGAAGGACUUCCAACCCAACAGAUGUUCCAAACGAAAGAGAACUCUUUCUUUGGACCAGCUUGUAUGAAAGCAGACAAAUGGACAACAUGACCUCCUGCAAGGAGGCCCUGCUUCCAUCCUUUCGAGGCUGGGGCUAGAUGGAUACCCCAAAAGAAAUGUCUUAGUCGUGACAAUAGCAGCUCCCACAAUGCACCAGGGCAUAUGCAAAGUCACCAUUCUGUGAAAUAUAAAAGCUCAUAUAAAGCAUCUCUGCCCCCUUUCCAGCUCAACACAAGGAGACAAUGGGGAGGGGAGGGCAGGUUCCCUUCUUAACCUCUUUCUGAGGGCAAGGAUUGUGCUUUCUCCCUCCUGGGCCAGUCCACACCCCCAUGCCCACCCCUGGGCAUCUUUACUUGGUUUUAGUCCCCUGACCUCAGUUCAGGGGACUAAAUUCAUUCAGGCUACAAUGACCAUGGAAGGGAAAGGGGCAGUCUGCUGACCCCUGGAAGAUGAAGGAGAAAUGGGAGAAGGCAGAGGGGUCAGGUGGGGGCUGCCAGAGGAAGUGGCCCUGAGCUGCUGGUUCCCAGUCCCUCCCUCAUAAGCAAAGCUGAGGCCCUCAGGUUACCACGGGACACUGUUAAGUUUAUUCUAGGGUGAGUGGGUGCCCAAGGGGGGCAGUGAGUAUGGCCGAGGUCACCUGGUGGCAGGGUGCUCAGGGAUGGCCACAGGUUCUAUAGGGCCCUGCAGGGCCUGAGUCUCUAGUCAGUUGGGAUGCUUCACCUUCUGCCCCACCCCAAGGGGGUUGGGG